rnacentral:pre_miRNA from 1 species
AGGAGGAACAACCGCAGUGGCGGGGCCAGCUCUGGAGCCCUGGAUUCAGCCCCCGCAGUAACCCCAGAGCUCUCCGUCUGCAGGGCCUGCAGGCUCCGGGGCGGG